GGCUUGUUGAUAAUAAUUUCAGGUCUGACCUGCCCAAUGAAUGUUUUAAUGGCCGCAGUAAUUUGACUGUGCAAAGGUAGCAUAAUCAUUAGUUUUUUAAUUGAGAACUGGAAUGAAAGGUUUGAUGAGAAGAUUUCUGUCUCUAGAAAAAUUUAUUAGAAUUUUAUUUUUAAGUUAAAAAGCUUAAAUGGUCAUAGAAGACGAGAAGACCCUAUAGAGUUUUAUAUUUGUAAAAGAUUGGAAUUUUUUGGUAUAUAGGGUUUCCAGUAAUUUAGAGUAUUUUGUUGGGGUGACAGAAAAAUUUGUUUAACUUUUUUUAGAAUUGAAACAUUGAUUUAUGGGUGUAUGAUCCUUAAUUUAGAUUAUAAGAUUAAAUUACCUUAGGGAUAACAGCGUAAUUUUUUUAAGAGUUCUUAUCGGAAGAAAAGAUUGCGACCUCGAUGUUGGAUUAAAAUUUAUUUUUGGUGUAGAAGCUAGAAAAAUUAGGUCUGUUCGACCUUUAAAAUUUUACAUGAUCUGAGUUUAAACCGGCGUGAG
rnacentral:rRNA from 1 species